CCUACUUCUCUGAGUUGUCUCUCAUCUCCAACAGCCUUUCCCAGAUGUCAAAUCUCUGUGCUCUCCCCCUCCCUUUUCUCUCCCUACCCUCCCACCUUUGUUCCUGUGACUUCACUGUUAGAACUCCACAGCUGGAACUUCCCUCAAACCUUCCAUUCGGUGUCUACUCAUCCUGCGCUCUCUCGGCAGCUUUUACUAAAGAGCCUGACGACUUCAUAAUUCAUGCCCUGAUGUCAUCUAGCCCAGGUCAAAACAAAGGUGUCUUUUUACAUACAUACGCCAUAUUCACCUUCAACACCAGUUUCAACAUGCUAUGUCCAGGGAGACUUAAAAUAACAAAACUAUUACAUCAUCUGUGUUUAGCAAGCAUUUCGCUGACAGCAGAAUUAUCAGCAUCAUGCCCAUGCUACAGAUGGGAACGCUUGUGCUUGUAUUACACAUCUUGUCCUCUGUUCUUUACAUUUGGAACAGCCAGGGGACGCCUUCAUGGCUCAUUUUUGGGCUUACUUCCCAUGGAAUUUCCUAACCUCAUCCCUCUGAGUCUCAUUCCUCAAGCUGGCUUCAUUCAAACUAAAGGAUUCUCAGGCGGACCACUCCUCCCAGGCAAAGGCACGGAUGUGCGUUUUCAGAAGGACCUUCAAAGUCUUAACACAAGGAGGACUGUCAUAGAGAGUCGGAUGACGUGAGCGCCAGCUGCUCACAAGUAGAGGCACAUCCGGUGCGAGAACUUGAGCAGUAGGAACCUACAGGACGCCAGGCCGGGAGGCGGGGGGCAGAGCGCCCACUAGUGGGCGGACCACGGUGAAGCAAGGUAACGCCGAAUCACACUGAUACGGUGCCAUUACGGACUGGAUGGCCGCGAGUCUGAGUGAACUCCGGGAGAUGGUGAUGGAAAGGAGGCCUGGCGUGCUGCGAUUCAUGGGGUCGCAAAGAGUCGGACAAGACUGAGCGACUGAACUGAGCUGAACUGAGCCAAGAGAGAGGAGCGUAACACGCUCAAGAGUUAAUGGUAGAGAAAUGGAAAGACUCUUUCCUUCUGUUUAAGAGUGGAGCAAAGGCCUAUAAGGCCAGGAGGAAAUACCCAACUGGAAAGUGAAAGGGUAACCAACAAAAACCUAUUCUAUAGCACAUGGAACUCUACUCAAUGUCAUGUGCCAGCCUGGAUGGGAGCGGGGUUUGGGGGAGAAUGGAUACAUGUAUAUGUGUGGCUGAGUCACUUCACUGUUCCCCUGAAACUAUUACAUCAUUGUUAAUAAGCUAUACCCCC
rnacentral:lncRNA from 1 species